UCUAGGCCAUGGCCCUACUGAGACCAGCUCAGUUUAUGUUUUGAUAUAAGUAGGCUCAGUUUUAGCUUCAGCUGUCUCAGUCAAGGGUCUGCCCAAGAAAUUGUCAAAUCUUUAAAGGCACUGAAAUGAUGAAGCUCAAGGUGCUGAAGGUUUCCUGGAGCUUGCUGUCUUAGCGUGAUGGACCACAGCACCAAUGUAGGCACACAGUUUGUGGUAAUUGGGACUGGGGCUGUGGUGGAGCUUCAUUCCCAAUGGGCUGCAGCUGUGCAGGACAGGUGAGCAGCAUUGAAGGCAAUGAGACCUGGAGUGCUGAGGUGCACUGACCAAUCACCAAAGGAUACAGAGGCCUCACAGGUGCAAUGCAUGAACAAAAGGGGUAUAAAAGGUUGGACUGGAAAGCAGUAAAGAGUAGAUGCUUGAAGCUUUCUGAGGUGGUGUGGUGUUACUCCGAAUGGACUGAUGCUUUCUGAGAUGGUCUCUAGAAAGAUUUACUAGUCGUGGUGAGCAUGAGACAGAGCAGAUUCACUCAGCUCUUUGAACCACAGUUAACAUCCUAGGACCAGAGAAUGACAGGAUCUUGCUGGCAUCGACUCCCACAGCAAUAUCUAUUUACUGUUUAGAUGCAGAGUGUAGCCUUUAUGUUGUGCAGCUUGUUGUGCCAGCUGAUGGAUCAGAAGAAUAAAUAUCAAACCAUCAUUCAGUGUCUUUGGAUGUACCUUUUUGCAUGAUCAGCAUUUCUGUAAAUCUGGAUCUCAGUAAAUGGAUGCACAUAAUGUCCAGUGAUCAGCUGUGAGUUCAGUUUGCUGAAGAGAGCUCCAGGACUGAGGAGAUAAAGACCAAAUCAGUCAGGUCUUUGAGGAAGGCGCUGAACUGCCUUAGCCAUACCACCAUCCUUCUGUCUCCUGCAGUCCUGGAACUCAUUUGGUGCAAACAUUCCUAAGUCCUGUAACCGAGGGUGCAGUUAUCCUACUGCAAUGGGUGACUCCCAGGAGAUAAAUCUUUCCAUCUGGUGCUUGGAAGAAGUCAGACUCCCUCUGGAAUGAGGGAGAGGUGCAGAAAAACUGAAUGAUACCUCAGUAGAGUUGAAUGCAAGAGUGGGAAUAGCAGAAGCUGUAAGAGAUUGAAGCAGGGAAUUGAUGAGAUGCAGCAUGGAAGUAGUCUGAAGUUUGGUGAUGUUUUAUAUGGAAGUGAAAAGGGAUGUUUCAGCUAACAAAGUGUAGCAGCCUACUUGCUGUUUCGCCUGUCUUCUAAUCUUAUCUCUCAAAAGUAGAUAAGUUUUAGUUUCAUUCUGUAUUCAUGGGAAGUGCAAUGCCCACGGUCAGGAGGUGAACCCAGGUGUCCUGAGUUUUAGCCCAGAGUUCUGUCUGAUGGAGCACAGUUGGGAGCCACAUACAGAUGAUUAGUUGCCUAUCUACUAAACAGUAGUUGGGCUGGCAGCCCUGUAAAACUGUGCUGUUAUUCCAGGCUUAAUUAUCGGUUUGACAUAAUGCUACUGAAUGAGUGUAAACUUCUAAAAAAUUAGAGAUUUGCUGCAUUAUGCACUGUACUUUCUCUGUUAGUGAGAAUUCAAAUUCAGAAUUUUGUAAUUCAAAGCAAAUUAUAGAACAGACACUUGGUGUACAGGGACAGUUCCAGAUGACAAUUAAUGUACUGUCUCAUACAUGCUUUUUGAGUAACAGUAAAGUUGAGAGCCUGUAAUCGUUAAGGAGGUACACUGUUCAAAAUCCAGAUGAAGAGAUAGAUUAGCACUGUCACUUCAUUGAUUAGUACUCCCAUUUGUUUGAAUUUCAAUGCCAAAACGCAAUAGAUGACAUGAUGCAAAGAGAACAGUGCAUUGUAGUUGCUGUAGUUGUGAUGUCUGACUUUAUGCAGUUAUACAACAAUGUUCUAGUACCCAAGAAAUUCUGCAGUGUAAUUCAAAUGCUAUAAAUUGAUCUGAGUUCAUUGUUUCUUCUUAUGGCGAGGCUGCUCAAAAUGAAUGCUAAAACAUUUUGGAAAGAAUUUCCCCAGUAAUUGGUUUAUUGUGUUUCUGUUUAAGUGCAGUUUACUGAAGUAUUCAUCUAAAGGAAAUACUGCCAAUCUCUUCUGAUGUGUACAUUAAUUUAUUUUAGUGCACAUUAAGGAAAAUAUCUUGUCACCCAACUCUCUCUGAGUGGCAUGAUAUGCUUUGAGUUUGCAAUAUAUCUGUUUGGAAUAAAACAACUCCCAUUCAUUCUGCAUUUUCAGUGUACUCAAUUCCACAUGUAGCACCUAUAUAAACAGCCUUAAAAUAUUGCCUGAACUCUCCUUUACGAAGUCAUUGGAGCAUUAUCUUGACGUCCUUGGGACCUCUGUUACCCAAAUGACAUAAUAACCAGAAUAGCCCAUCUGUUGAACCUGGCUUAUCUAGGACGCGCUGUGGGCAGUUUCAGCCAGCUGAGAUUCCCAGCUACCUUGUGAGGAGAAAUGAAAGA